CUCCGGCAAAGGGCAGGAAGCCCGAACCGGAGAAAAGGGCAGCCUCCCAAAGACAAUGGGAACGGCUCGGUUGCCAAGGCGCCCCUUGGGCCUUCCUGCGCAGACCUGAGGAGCUCGGGAGGACAUCAAGGCCUGGACUCGGGGUCCUGGCCGGGAGGCGCUGGGACGUCGGCUGGUCAUGGGGGAGGGGGAGGCCUCCAGGCAUGGGAGCUGCGUCCUAAGGGCAGCUUCGUAGGGAUCACCAGCGUGGAAAGCUCUUGGGAGAGGGAGCCCAGAGCUGUAGUAGCCUCCAACUAUCCCCUCCUUUCCAGCAGAAAUGAGCUUUUGGAAACCUUUCGCAGUUUCCCUCAGGACCAUUUGAAGGGCAAAUUAGAGAAAGAGAAAGGAGCUGUACUUUGGAUAAAAAAGUGGCUGAUGUUGCAGGGGGCAGCUCUGGGGCAGGAUUUGCUGGAGAAGAAAAUGACAAACUUUCUGGAGAGUUAUGGUGCUGGGGGUCACAGAGAGAUGGACACAACUGACCAACAACACCCUACAAUGGAAUAUAACUCUGAUGGAAAAUGACAUGUGGCAAAUACAUAGGAGAAAGAAAGUUUUGAGCAUCCAUAUUGGCCUCUGAACCUGCUGGAAGAGACCCGGAAGUCUUGGGGUGAUGAAGCAGUGAGGGUCUGGGCCUGGGGCUGGGCCUGGUGGGGCAGCUCACACUGGCUAUCUGUUGGCUAGGAGGCAGCAGGAAUGAGGGGAAUGAAAGGAGAAGAGAUGUGAGCAGAGAACUCAGAGGAGCUGGGCCAGGUGGUUCUAUGUGCCUUUACUCUCUCCAACCGGCUUUCCCUUUGUAAUAAAUAAUUAUA
rnacentral:lncRNA from 1 species